CUAUUAACUCCUUUGCUUGUACCUGCAGAAGUAGAUUGAUAAAUGUUAUGGGUUUUAUGGAGUGUCCCAACGUCUCCUUCUAGCUCUGGAUUUUUAAUGUCUUUCGAUCGACAUAGCUCUGCACACUGCUGAGUUAGCUGAUUUGUAGCUAUAGACUUCAGUUUAUCUUCAUUAGUCUUUAGCUUUUCUAUCUCAUUACCCAUACUGUCCACUUUCAUUGAAAGCGUAGUUAGG
rnacentral:lncRNA from 1 species